rnacentral:miRNA from 1 species
AACUACCACCUCCUGGCCUUUU